CCUACGGGAGGCAGCAGUGAGGAAUAUUGGUCAAUGGACGAGAGUCUGAACCAGCUAAGCAGCGUGAAGGAUGACUGCCCUAUGGGUUGUAAACUUCUUUUAUAUGGGAAUAAAAUGUUCCACGUGUGGGAUUUUGUAUGUACCAUAUGAAUAAGGAUCGGCUAACUCCGUGCCAGCAGCCGCGGUAAUACGGAGGAUCCGAGCGUUAUCCGGAUUUAUUGGGUUUAAAGGGAGCGUAGGUGGAUUGUUAAGUCAGUUGUGAAAGUUUGCGGCUCAACCGUAAAAUUGCAGUUGAAACUGGCAGUCUUGAGUACAGUAGAGGUGGGCGGAAUUCGUCGUGUAGCGGUGAAAUGCUUAGAUAGCACGAAGAACUCCGAUUGCGAAGGCAGUUCACUGGACUGCAACUGACACUGAGGCUCGAAAGUGUGGGUAUCAAACAGGAUUAGAUACCCGAGUAGUC
rnacentral:rRNA from 1 species